rnacentral:misc_RNA from 1 species
AAGUCGUAACAAGGUCUCCGUUGGUGAACCAGCGGAGGGAUCAUUACUGAGUUCUACAAAAACUCCCACCCUUUGUGUACCGUACCGUCGUUGCCUCGGCGCCGAGCAGCUACCCUGGAAGAGCUACCCGGGAGGACCUACCCUGUAGAUGUUUCGGCACCUACCCGGUACGACCUACCCUGGAGCUACCCUGGAGAAGCACCUACGCUCCGCCGGUGGACCAUGCAACUCUUGUUUUUUACAGUGUAUCUCUGAGAAAUAACAAAUAGUUAAA